rnacentral:rRNA from 1 species
ACUCCUACGGGAGGCAGCAGUGGGGAAUUUUGGACAAUGGGCGAAAGCCUGAUCCAGAAAUGCCGCGUGAGUGAAGAAGGCCUUCGGGUUGUAAAGCUCUUUUGUCAGGGAAGAAACGGUGAAAGCUAAUAUCUUUUGCUAAUGACGGUACCUGAAGAAUAAGCACCGGCUAACUACGUGCCAGCAGCCGCGGUAAUACGUAGGGUGCAAGCGUUAAUCGGAAUUACUGGGCGUAAAGCGUGCGCAGGCGGUUUUGUAAGUCUGAUGUGAAAUCCCCGGGCUCAACCUGGGAAUUGCAUUGGAGACUGCAAGGCUAGAAUCUGGCAGAGGGGGGUAGAAUUCCACGUGUAGCAGUGAAAUGCGUAGAUAUGUGGAGGAACACCGAUGGCGAAGGCAGCCCCCUGGGUCAAGAUUGACGCUCAUGCACGAAAGCGUGGGGAGCAAACAGGAUUAGAUACCCCGGUAGUCCC